rnacentral:rRNA from 1 species
UACGAAGGGGGCUAGCGUUGCUCGGAAUUACUGGGCGUAAAGCGCACGUAGGCGGAUUGUUAAGUCGGGGGUGAAAUCCUGGAGCUCAACUCCAGAACUGCCUUCGAAACUGGCGAUCUUGAGUUCGGGAGAGGUGAGUGGAACUGCGAGUGUAGAGGUGAAAUUCGUAGAUAUUCGCAAGAACACCAGUGGCGAAGGCGGCUCACUAGCCCGAUACUGACGCUGAGGCGCGAAAGCGUGGGGAGCAAACAGG